UCAACGCAAAGUACAUUGGUGUUGUAGAAUUUUUUGGAUCUUUCCUAACGUGCGAUAUGAUAGGAAGUGAAGUUAGAAAAAUUUUGUAAGCUAAACCUUUUUUAAUAUGAAGAAGGAAAACACUUUUGAAAUAAGAUUUCAUCCAACUAGUAUAGUUUAGCAAUGGAAUUUUGUCAUUUUUUACUGAUAUAACAUGUGUACAUCUGAAAGCCAUGAUGAACAAGGAGAGUUAGGGGUUAGGGGACUGAGAGCUAGCAGUCAAUUACAAACAGCAAACCCGAAAUACCAAGAUAAGA